CAAUCUUUUACAUAAUAUAACACAUAUAAAUGUGAUGAGCAUUAAGUUUACAAUCAAAUAAAAAGCUCUACAAGUGUAUAGUAAUGAAGCAUCACAUGGGCUUCAUUACUCCGAGAACUAGAUCCACUGAACUAUGCUUCUUCUUCUUUGUCCUGAUGCUUGUGAAGAAACAUGAAAGGCUAGCAUCUACACGUUAUACAACAAAAUGGUUAGGAACAAAAUAAAAAUAAUCUAACAGCAUAUUUAAUAGUAAAUAACAAAUAAUGCAAUAAAUUGGUACAGAGCAAGGUACAAUGCAUAGGCCACAGCAACAAUAAAUUGGUACUAAAUCCAGAAAUCACCAUAUGAAAUAAAGUUAAUAGGACAUUUUAGAAUCAAUUUGUCAGCUCACAGUAAUGUUUGCAUUGGACACAUCC
rnacentral:lncRNA from 1 species